ensembl:lncRNA CPLANE1-AS1 CPLANE1 antisense RNA 1
AGGCGACGCUGGGAGGCUGGGGUAGGCCCAGAGCGAGGACGGGCCCGGACUGGGUAGUGGGGAUGUACCAGGGCCGGGUGCGGCGGGAGACGGCCCGGGAGGCGGAAGGUCGCGGACCUGCCCGACAGAAGAGUAGAUGAGGGGAGACCGAGGACGCCCGGGUCCGGGGAGCUUACGAGGAGGCCAGGAUCGCGGGUUCACGUGGGCACCUUGGAACACUGAAGAAGGCAUUUUCCGAACUCACUGUCCUACGGACUUAUUCUCCGCACUGUUUUCGCCUCCUUCGCCCUGUUCUCGUGACUGACAGGAGCAGGGGUCACAAGCAGGCAGCCCGAGAGCUCUGCUCACCUGGAAAAGCAUUUUUGUGUAGCUUAAAUGUGAAGGCCUCAGGCAGUGGCCUGUUGUCCUCCUCCACAUGCGCCCAUCUUCACUCUUUCAUGUGACUGGCCUGUUUUUGAAGGCAGGACCCUGUCACCCUUGGCUAGGCCAGGUAUGUUCUGCACCGAAAAUGGCCCUGCCCUCUGCAUUGGAUGGCUAGCUCUUAGGUUGGUUUAUUUUAGCAAAUAAGCGUUACAGGGUAGGCGAACUGGCUGCAUCAGAACCACAAUUACCCCUGUGUCUCUGGGUGGGAUAAAUGGCGGAUGGCAUUCUGGCAGCUCAGCCCCACUUAUCUCAGAGGUUAUAGAUCUGAGGUGGUUUAGAUCCACCCCCAAAUCACGAACAUUUUACAUAAGCCGUGCUAGAGUUAGCAUAAAAGUCUCACAGAAAAAUUUGGAAACUGAGAAAUCCUAACCUAUUCCCACAAUCCUGUGUUCCCAUUUUUAGGUCUUAAGAUAUGAAGACAAUGGGAUAACUGAGGCUGAUUUUGCUGUGUGGCCAUUAGACCUAGAAAUAUUGGUGUGAUUCUGGAGUUGAUUGCUCCACACGUUUAUUUAUUUAUUUUCCUUUUUUUCCCUCCUCUUCCUCCUCCUCUAUUCUUUAAAAACGUAUGGAAAUGUAUCCGGCAAUGUUUACUGUAAAAAAUAAUGUAUGGAAAUGACUACAAUUUGCUAAAAUAAAAAUCAUUGAGCACUUAUGUGUGUCAGACACUAUGCUAGGUAUAAAGAGGGGAAGAUGGUGUCCCUAUUCAAAAGAGAGUCACACACACUUAAGUUACAGUGCAGUCAUAAAUACCAUGAUCGCAGUAUGCACAGGUCCAUUUUCUCUAUCUGGGUGAUGGGAAGGUUCAAAACUAAGCUAGGUUUUGAAUGAGGAAUAGUUUCAUUUUGAAGCACAUCCAUUUUGCGAUGCCUCUGGAGCUAUCUAGUGAACAAUUUAGAUGCGUGGUUCAGAAGCUCGAUGGGAGGCUUGGGAACACAGAAUGUGUAAAAUAAGCAUCAGUCUCCCUUUCACCCUCUCUGCACUUUUUAAGGGUCAUCUGUCUUUAGUAUAUAUUGGUAAGAGAUUUUAUGGAGGAUACCAAUUCUUUUUUUUUUUUUUUGAGACAGAGUCUCACAUUGUCACCCAGGGUGGAGUGCAGUUGCACGAUCUCUGCUCACUGCAACCUCCGCCUCCCGGGUUCAAGCGAUUCUCCUGCCUCAGCCUCCCAAGUAGCUGGGAUUACAGGUGCCCACCACCAGGCCCAGCUAAUUUUCGUAUUUUUAGUAGAGACGGGGUUUCACUAUGUUGGCCAGGCUGGUCUUGAACUCCUGACCUCGUGAUUCACCCACCUCGGUCUCCCAAAGUGCCGGGAUUACAGGUGUGAGCCACCGUGGCCUGCCAGCAUACCAAUUCUUAUGAGAGAAUGUCAGGGGUAGAAGAGAUCCAAGGAAAUGGUUGACCAGGUAAAAAACUGAUAAAGGUCAAAUAGAAAUAAGCCUGAGAAUUGCCCCAUCAGAUUUGGUUUAGUGUUUAGUAGGUAUAGUUAUAGUGCCAGAUAUAUAAUAACUGAGUUCCUUUUGAAAGCAUAUAGUAAAAUCAAAUCUGAUUAGCCUAAGUAACAGAGGUGAUUUAUUGUAAUGAUUCUGGGGUAUCUGACAGAUUGUAGAUAUUCUCUCUAGGGUGCUCCUAUCCAAUAUAAAUUUCUGUAAUGAUGAAAAUGUUCUAUGUCUGCUGUGUCUUAAUAUGGUAACCAUUAGCCAAAAGUGCUACUGAGCAUAUGAAAUGUAGCUAGUGCAACUGAGACCCUGUAAACUAAGAUUCCAGUCAAAGAGAAGGGAAAAAACAGUGAGCUUUGCCCACAGUCUUUAAGACCUGUGCCCAGAAAUAGUACAUAAUAUUUCUGCUUACAUUCCACUGGAAAUAACUUAGUCACAUGAUCACACCUAACUGCAAGGAAGCCUGGGAAAUGUAGAUUAGCAGUGUACCCAGAAAGACUGAGAAAAUGGUUUUGGUGAACAACUAGCAGUGGUCAGAAUACAAAAAGUAAUAAUACAGAUUUCCUGCUUUCAAGAAUAUCACAGGUUUAGUGGGAGACAGAUGAGUAUUUUACUAGCAAUGAAUAAAGAACAUGCUAUACAAACCCAAAGAAAACAGUAGAUAUAGCCUGGAUAUUUGUUCCUACCUAAAUCUCAUGUUGAAUUGUAAUUCCCAGUGUUGGAUGUGGGGCCUGGUGGGAGGUGAUUGGAUCAUGAGGGUGAAUUUCUUGUGAAUGGUUUAGCACAAUUCCUUGGUGCUGUCCUCAUGAUGGUGAGUGAGUUCUCAUGAGAUCCGGUUGUUUAAAAGUGUGUGGCACCUUGGGAGGCUGAGGCAUGAGAAUCGUUUGAAUCUGGGAGGCAGAGGCUGCAAUGAGCUGAGAUCAUGCCACUGCACUCCAGCCUGUGUGACAAAGCAAGACUCUCUUUUAAAAAAAAGUGGCACCUCCCCCCUGCCUGUGUUCCUGCUUUUGCCAUGUGACUUACGCGCUCCCACUUUGCCUUCCGUCGUGAGUAAAAGCUUCCUGAGGCCCCCGCCAGAAGCAGAUAUCAGUGCUAUGCUUCCUAUACAUCCUGUAGAACCAUGAGACACGUAAACUUAUUUUCCUGUAAAUUACCCAGUCUCUGGUAUUUCUUUAUAACAAUGUAAGAAC